UACGGAGGGUGCAACCGUUGCUCGGAAUCAUUGGGCGUAAAGCGCACGUAGGUGGCUUGUUAAGUCGGGUGUGAAAUCCCUGGGCUCAACCCAGGAAGUGCAUUCGAAACUGGCGAGCUUGAGUACUGAAGAGGGUCGCGGAAUUCCCGGUGUAGAGGUGAAAUUCGUAGAUAUCGGGAGGAACACCAGUGGCGAAGGCGGCGACCUGGGCAGAUACUGACACUGAGGUGCGAAAGCGUGGGGAGCAAACAGG
rnacentral:rRNA from 1 species